rnacentral:tRNA from 1 species
UGUAGAAUGUUUAAAAAAAAAUCCCUUUUGAUACAGAGAUUUUUUUCUAUUUUCGACAA